CCUACGGGGGGCUGCAGUGGGGAAUAUUGGGCAAUGGGCGCAAGCCUGACCCAGCAACGCCGCGUGAAGGAAGAAGGCUUUCGGGUUGUAAACUUCUUUUAAGAGGGAAGAGCAGAAGACGGUACCUCUUGAAUAAGCCACGGCUAACUACGUGCCAGCAGCCGCGGUAAUACGUAGGUGGCAAGCGUUGUCCGGAUUUACUGGGUGUAAAGGGCGUGUAGCCGGGCUGACAAGUCAGAUGUGAAAUCCCGUGGCUCAACCACGGAACUGCAUUUGAAACUGUCGGUCUUGAGUAUCGGAGAGGCAGGCGGAAUUUCUAGGGUAGGGGUGAAAUGCGGAGAUAUUAGGAGGAACACCAGUGGCGAAGGCGGCCUGCUGGACGACAACUGACGGUGAGGCGCGAAAGCGUGGGGAGCAAACAGGAUUAGAUACCCUUGUAGUC
rnacentral:rRNA from 1 species